CUUGCCUGCCUUGCCGCCGUGGCUGUUGCCACUCCUCAGUUCGAGGACCGAGUGGUCGCCCUCCUUCGCGAUGACCGUAUAGCCAACGAAGACGGCACCUUCUCCUAUGCCGUGGAAGCCGACAACGGCAUCAACACAGCCGUUGAAGGGGUUGUUGGAUCUGCCGGUCAGAUCAACCAGGCAGGAUCUUACACUUAUACCCUUGCGGACGGCACCCAGGCUGUUGUUACUUUCGUCGCCAACGAGAACGGCUUCCAACCCCAGUCCAGCAUCCUGCCCACUCCCCACCCUCUUCCUGCCCACGUCUUUGAGCUGUUGGAAAUCGCUGAGCGUCAACGUGCCGCGGGCAUUGUGUUCAACUAAGAAAAAAAAAAAAAAAAAAACCGAAAUGGAUGGAUGUUUAAUGAAUGCUACUUGAAUAAAAUUUACGACUGAU